AACGAACGCUGGCGGCGUGCCUAACACAUGCAAGUCGAGCGGGAAAGUUCCCUUCGGGGAGCGAGUACAGCGGCGAACGGGUGAGUAACACGUAGGUAACCUACCCUGGAGUCCGGGAUAACCUGCCGAAAGGCGGGCUAAUACCAGAUAAGACCACGAGGGCUGCGGCCCUUGGGGAAAAGAUGGCCUCUGCUUGCAUGCUAUCACUCCGGGAUGGGCCUGCGCGCCAUUAGCUAGUUGGUGGGGUAACGGCUCACCAAGGCUGAGAUGGCUAGCUGGUCUGAGAGGAUGGCCAGCCACACUGGGACUGAGACACGGCCCAGACUCCUACGGAGGC
rnacentral:rRNA from 1 species